CCAUGUCUUCGAUCACCCACAGUCCUACAGGUCACGGUGACGCCGCCGCGCCGUACAGGACCGGACCGACCUCGCGACCCUCUUCGGCUGGCCGCGGGGGUCUCUUCCGGAUGCUCAUCCAAAAUCCGGCGACCUGCAGUGAUCUACAACAGUACCCAAAAACAUUUUUCCCUGUUUGACAGUGGGAAGGAAAGGAAACAAGAAUGUCCCCCUAAAUUGGUAGAGACACUCGAGGAUGGGAGGAAAAUUGCCUUUUGGAUUCCUUGAUUUUCCAACACAAGGAUCUGGUGCAACAGUCCAGAUUUUCCAACACAACAUCGGGAGAGGCGAAGGAAAUUGCUGAGGGAGAGCCUCCGCCGGGAAAGGAUACUUGUUAUUUGUCGAGCAGAUGUAUUGCACGGAGGGGAAGCUUUUGCAAACUUCCGGGAACAUGCGUAUCUGCAAGAAAUACAAGGUUGGAGACAUUAUAACAGUGGAGUAAUCCUCUUCAGAUAUUGAAUUAGACAAGGGAGCUACAUUUCUCAAACUGGCAGAUGUAAACCUUAUGCUGGUGAAACAAGAUUGCAAUCUGUAGGAGCUGCAAGUAGAUGCUCUCACUUUUGGCUUGAUAGGUGAGGGGGAAUGAAUAGCUUUUCUGUAAUGAAUAGUGUUAGAAUCUCAUAGAUAUGAGUCUUGAAAGCUUCCUAGUCCUUGGUACUAUCAAGUUAAGUGAUGUAUCACUUUCAUCUCACAACUUGUCCAUCAAACCAGCAUUGAUAAACAAGGACAAUAAUAAUACGUUUUUUUCUUCUUAAAAGGAGAACAAGGAGAAUCAGUAUUAAGUGAAAUCUGGUCUAACUUGAGAAGGUGGAUUGAUUGUGACCUCUUAUUGAGUCCAAGAACAGUAAUUUUUAAGGUAAAUAAAUUUAAGAUUUUUUUUCAGAAAAAAAGUAUAUAAGAUUUCUUAACUUGGAUUUCCUCAAUGGUUUAUCUGUGAUAAGAUAUGAGAAAAGUGACUAGUGACAAGGGUAUCUCUCUGCAAUAAGGCUUUCCUGGAUGACAUUGCCAAGCUAUGAGAGCUUCUGAGGAUAGGUCAGAUGCACAAGCCUGCUUGCCCAAAAACACUUGCAUAUAACAUGAGACUGCAACAGAGAGAAAAAAAAUAGAGAAGGAAAGAAGAAUAAAAACAAUAAGAGAGAGAGAGAGAGAGAGAGAGAGAGAGAGAGAGCACUCAGAAGAGGCAUGCAUGUACUCUUUUGCUGGUUUGGCAUCUCCAACUUAUCACCAACUUGUCAGAAUGCCAGGUGGACAGGGUGGUCAGGCAGAAACAACAAGGUGGGGGGGGGGGAGGGGAAGGAAGAAAACAACAAGCACUUCAGAGAAUAUAUGGAGAAGCAGAGGAAGGCCACUAAAAUAGUCAGUGGUUGGAGGUGCGUGAGAUGCAUCAGAAGGAGGAAGAUGGCAUGGCUGUUGCCUGUGGCCCACAGUAUCAGCUCUGUGACCUCAAACAUCUUAUCAUGUCAUUCUUUUUUGUUCCUUCUUGAUAGGAUGGAUCAGUGUGGGCUAUCAUGUGGGAUGCCACAUGCAAACUACUGACACCCAAAAGCAUCGAGAGGGGGGAAAAGAGGACGUGAAUCUUUUCUUCUUGUUGGCAUGCACUGCAUGUGUACAUUCCAACGUUGUUAUAAAUAAUGUUAAAGAAUAUGCAUGAUCA